rnacentral:rRNA from 1 species
UAACGAAUAUUCCGCAAUGCGCGAAAGCGUGACGGAGCAAUGCCGCGUGAAGGAUGAAGCCCCUUGGGGUGUAAACUUCUGUCAGGGGUCACCAAGCUCUGAGGAGCCCCAAAGGAAGGACCGGCUAACUUCGUGCCAGCAGCCGCGGUAAUACGAAGGGUCCAAGCGUUAAUCGGAAUCACUGGGCAUAAAGCGUGCGUAGGCGGAUGUGCAAGUACCCUGUGAAAUCCCACGGCUCAACCGUGGAACUGCUCGGUAGACUGCACGUCUUGAACUCGAUAGGGGCUGUCGGAACGAUAGGUGGAGCGGUGAAAUGCGUAGAUAUCUAUCGGAACGCCAAUGGCGAAGGCAGGCAGCUGGGUCGAUGUUGACGCUCAGGCACGAAAGCGUGGGUAGCGAACGGGAUUAGAUACCCCCGUAGUCC